ACGGAUCCAAGGACUUUCGCUCCAACUCCUUCAAACCAUAAUUUUUAGAAUUUUUAUUAUUAAGAUUUUAAAUGAUUUAGGAGGACUCUCAUUUAAAUCAAAAACUUUUUAUUUUUAAAUUUAAUUUAUUAUUAUGAUUUUAAAUAAAUGCUUUGAAAUCCCAGAUUCAUCUUUCAAUUUAUAAUCCUGUGGGCAUUAUUUUCAAUUAUCAACAAUUAAACCUGCAACAACAUAUGCAAUCCCCACCAGAACAGAAUCUCUCUCCUUUUAGAGAAGGGAACUUUAGCCACACAAAACUAAAACAACAAUCUGGAAACGUGUAAAAGCAUAAGCAUGUAUCAGAUAUCAUCCACCAACACAUAAAUAAACACACAAAUGCAUUAAUCACCUCACACUCAUCCAUCCAUUCUUAAUCCAAACAGCAGCCUAAAAAUUACGAAUACAACUCCAUUUUACCUAUAACCUUAGGAGAAAGGAAAGCACUGGCAGGAAUUAAACUGGUAUAUCAGCCGUAAGCAAAGGCUUAUCAGAGGUUCUGGAAAUCAAUGGAUUACCCGAGCAGUGAAGCUGGACUCAAUGUUGCAUCUGGGGUUGAGAUGAAUAAAACAAAUCUGGCCUUGCUUUCAUGGAGAUAUAUUUAGUCAUUCUGCUUCGGGAAAAGACGCAAUCGGCUCUGUGGGGCUCAGAAUCGAAGAAAACCACUGUUGUGGUCUGGAUUUUGAAGUUAAGGAGGGUGCGGAUUCUGGGUAUUCCGGUUUUGGGAGGGUUAGUCGAGAGAGGGAGUUGGCGUUGGGUUUUCUGGUUUUGAUUGGAAUCGUGUAUGGAAAGAUUCGUGGGUUCUGGUGCAGACAAGUUCAGAAGCUGGGUUAAAUGGAGAUGGAAAAUGAUGGAGAAGAAGGAGAAGGGCAUGGGUCUAACUGGUACACCUGCUGGUGGCUUCGAUGCUACGAUCGGGAGAACGGACUGGGUAGGACUGUGGGAGUGGAUUUUGGGAAGAACCGAGAGCUGCCGAUCAUGGAGAUGGGGGCUGCUGACAUGUUUUGGAGAGUGACAUGGGCCACGUUUCAGGCAGACACGGAAGAGGGAAAACGUAUUGGAAGAAAUGAGGGCAGGCUUGGAUAAUUUCAUAUUGAUCCUUCCAUAAUUCUUUCCCAAGUUUAUAACAAAUAUCUUACUGGGGAUGUCAACUGGAUCAUAUAUUUUUUAUAUUCGAUCUAAUU
rnacentral:lncRNA from 1 species